rnacentral:rRNA from 1 species
GAUGAACGCUGGCGGCGUGCCUAAUACAUGCAAGUCGAGCGAACAGACGAGGAGCUUGCUCCUUCGACGUUAGCGGCGGACGGGUGAGUAACACGUAGGUAACCUACCUAUAAGACUGGGAUAACUUCGGGAAACCGGAGCUAAUACCGGAUAAUAUUUCGAACCGCAUGGUUCGAUAGUGAAAGAUGGCUUUGCUAUCACUUAUAGAUGGACCUGCGCCGUAUUAGCUAGUUGGUAAGGUAACGGCUUACCAAGGCAACGAUACGUAGCCGACCUGAGAGGGUGAUGGGCCACACUGGAACUGAGCCACGGUCCAGACUCCUACGGGAGGCAGCAGUAGGGAAUCUUCCGCAAUGGGCGAAAGCCUGACGGAGCAACGCCGCGUGAGUGAUGAAGGUCUUCGGAUCGUAAAACUCUGUUAUUAGGGAAGAACAAACGUGUAAGUAACUGUGCACGUCUUGACGGUACCUAAUCAGAAAGCCACGGCUAACUACGUG